GAUGAACGCUAGCGACAGGCUUAACACAUGCAAGUCGAGGGGCAGCGGGGGUGCAGGCUUGCCUGCACCUGCCGGCGACCGGCGCACGGGUGAGUAACACGUAUGGAACCUGCCCGCCACAGGGGGAUAACCCGGGGAAACCCGGCCUAAUACCCCAUGCCGCCCGGACCGGGCAUCCGGUCCGGGCGAAAGGAGGAAUCCGGUGGCGGCUGGGCAUGCGGCGCAUUAGCUUGACGGCGGGGUAACGGCCCACCGUGGCGACGAUGCGUAGGGGUUCUGAGAGGAAGGUCCCCCACACUGGAACUGAGACACGGUCCAG
rnacentral:rRNA from 1 species